AUGCAGCGACAGCGCUCCGUCGUCAAUGGCGACGCCGAGGCAUGUCGUGUGCUCAUGACGGUCGCUUGGUGGUGGAAUCGAGGUGUAGAGUCCGUUCCACCGGUCUCUGACGAGCCAGUGCGCCGUGCCCCGGCGCACGACGGCGUCGCCGUCCACGACGGCGAGCAUGACGCUGCUGAAGCACACUAUCGGGGCGCCCCAGCUCGGCUCGGUGGACGAGUAAGUGCAGAGGUCGUAGUUCAACGUGUCGCGGUUGAAGACGAGGAACAGCACCUUGAAGAAGGCCGGGCGGCGGCGGCCGCCGUCGGCGAAGGUCACCACGGCGCAGCUGUUCAUGCGGAAGUCGAAGCGGCAUCGCAGCGGCGGCAGCUCGUCGCACGUGCCGGCGAUCAGGUCGCACACGGCCAGCCGGACGCCUCCGGGGACCUCGGUCGGCGCGUCGAUGAGGCGCACGAGGAGGAGGCCGUCGCCCGACACGAACGGCACCGCGUCGUCCAGCAGGCCCGCGGCGCACGAGACGAAGGAGCGCAGGGAGCGGCACGCGCGGCCGAGCGGGCUUCCGCGCGCCGGGACGAGUGCCGGAGCGGAGGCGACGGCCGGCCCUCGCGCCCUGUAGCUCCGCACCUGAACGAAGAAGCCGGCGAGGGCGGGCGGGUCCGGCCAGCGGCCGCGGAGGAAGGCGGGGUCGGACACGAGGCCCCGCCAUCGCUUGCACGCCACGGCGCAGCGGAAGAGGGCGGCGGCGCCGGCAACGCGCGCCAGGAUCUCGCGGACCACGUCUUCCGGGAACGUGGCCGUCUCCGUCGUCUUCUCCAUGCUCCCUCGGGCGACGCGACCGACGUCCAUGCGAUCGGAGGCAAAGCCGUGGCUCGGAUUUUUGGUUCGGGCCGUGCGCGCCACGCACCUCCGCCUCCGGUUAUAUACUACUAG
rnacentral:rRNA from 1 species